CCAGAGAACUUUCCAGAGAUGGAUUGGGUGCCUUCGGGAACUCUGAGACAGGUGCUGCAUGGCUGUCGUCAGCUCGUGUUGUGAAAUGUUGGGUUAAGUCCCGCAACGAGCGCAACCCUUAUCCUUUGUUGCCAGCGGUUAGGCCGGGAACUCAAAGGAGACUGCCAGUGAUAAACUGGAGGAAGGUGGGGAUGACGUCAAGUCAUCAUGGCCCUUACGAGUAGGGCUACACACGUGCUACAAUGGCGCAUACAAAGAGAAGCGACCUCGCGAGAGCAAGCGGACCUCAUAAAGUGCGUCGUAGUCCGGAUUGGAGCCUGCAACUCGACUCCAUGAAGUCGGAAUCGCUAGUAAUCGUGGAUCAGAAUGCCACGGUGAAUACGUUCCCGGGCCUUGUACACACCGCCCGUCACACCAUGGGAGUGGGUUGCAAAAGAAGUAGGUAGCUUAACCUUCGGGAGGGCGCUUACCACUUUGUGAUUCAUGACUGGGGUGAAGUCGUAACAAGGUAGGCGUAGCGAG
rnacentral:rRNA from 1 species